rnacentral:rRNA from 1 species
GACGAACGCUGGCGGCGUGCCUAACACAUGCAAGUCGAACGGAGAACCAAGGAAAGAGAUUUCGGUCAAUGGAACUGGUUUUUAGUGGCGGACGGGUGAGUAACGCGUGAGCAGCCUACCUUUCAGAGGGGGACAACAGCUGGAAACGGCUGCUAAUACCGCAUAACGUAUAGAGUGGGCAUCCACAUUAUACCAAAGGAGCAAUCCGCUGAAAGAUGGGCUCGCGUCUGAUUAGAUAGUUGGUAGGGUAACGGCCUACCAAGUCUGCGAUCAGUAGCCGGACUGAGAGGUUGAACGGCCACAUUGGGACUGAGAUACGGCCCAGACUCCUACGGGAGGCAGCAGUGGGGAAUAUUGGGCAAUGGGGGAAACCCUGACCCAGCAACGCCGCGUGAAGGAAGAAGGCUUUCGGGUUGUAAACUUCUUUUAUCAGGGACGAAACAAAUGACGGUACCUGAUGAAUAAGCCACGGCUAACUACGUG